rnacentral:rRNA from 1 species
GUGGGGAAUCUUGCGCAAUGGGCGAAAGCCUGACGCAGCCAUGCCGCGUGAAUGAUGAAGGUCUUAGGAUUGUAAAAUUCUUUCACCGGGGACGAUAAUGACGGUACCCGGAGAAGAAGCUCCGGCUAACUUCGUGCCAGCAGCCGCGGUAAUACGAAGGGGGCUAGCGUUGCUCGGAAUUACUGGGCGUAAAGGGCGCGUAGGCGGACAGCUUAGUCAGAGGUGAAAGCCCAGGGCUCAACCUUGGAAUUGGCUUUGGUACUGGCUGUCUUGAGUUUGGGAGAGGUGAGUGGAACUCCGAGUGUAGAGGUGAAAUUCGUAGAUAUUCGGAAGAACACCAGUGGCGAAGGCGACUCACUGGCCCAAUACUGACGCUGAGGCGCGAAAGCGUGGGGAGCAAACAGGAUUAGAUACCCUUGUAGUCC